rnacentral:rRNA from 1 species
GAUGAACGCUGGCGGCGUGCCUAAUACAUGCAAGUCGAGCGAACAGACGAGGAGCUUGCUCCUCUGACGUUAGCGGCGGACGGGUGAGUAACACGUGGAUAACCUACCUAUAAGACUGGGAUAACUUCGGGAAACCGGAACUAAUACCGGAUAAUAUAUUGAACCGCAUGGUUCAAUAGUGAAAGACGGUUUUGCUGUCACUUAUAGAUGGAUCCGCGCCGCAUUAGCUAGUUGGUAAGGUAACGGCUUACCAAGGCAACGAUGCGUAGCCGACCUGAGAGGGUGAUCGGCCACACUGGAACUGAGACACGGUCCAGACUCCUACGGGAGGCAGCAGUAGGGAAUCUUCCGCAAUGGGCGAAAGCCUGACGGAGCAACGCCGCGUGAGUGAUGAAGGUCUUCGGAUCGUAAAACUCUGUUAUUAGGGAAGAACAAAUGUGGAAGUAACUAUGCACGUCUUGACGGUACCUAAUCAGAAAGCCACGGCUAACUACGUG